GACGAACGCUGGCGGCGUGCCUAAUACAUGCAAGUCGAACGGAAAGGUACUGCGUUUGUUCCUUUGACGAUUGCCGAACGCGUGAGUAACACAUGUGUAACCUGUCCUUAACUUUGGGAUAACUUUUGGAAACUGGGGCUAAUACCGGAUAGGAGCUCCUGCUCCAUGGGGUUGGUUGGAAAGUUUCGGCUGUUGUGGAUGGACUCGCGGCUUAUCAGCUUGUUGGUGGGGUAGUGGCUUACCAAGGCUUUGACGGGUAGCCGGCCUGGGAGGGUGACCGGCGACAUUGGGACUGAGAUAGGGGCCAGACUGCUACGGGAGGCAGGGGGGGGGAAUAUUGCAGAAUGGGCGGAAGCAUGAAGCAGCAACGCCGGGUGCGGGAUGACGGGCUUAGGGUAGUAAACAGAUUUCGCCUGUGACGAAGCGUGAGUGACGGUAAUGGGUAAAGAAGCACCGGCUAACUACGUG
rnacentral:rRNA from 1 species